rnacentral:rRNA from 1 species
AUUGAACGCUAGCGGCAGGCCUAACACAUGCAAGUCGAGCGAGCGGCGGACGGGUGAGUAAUGUAUGGGGACUGCCCGAUAGAGGGGGAUAACUACUGGAAACGGUAGCUAAUACCGCAUACUAUCGGAUAACCCAUAUGGGAUUAGCUGGUAGGUGAGGUAAUGGCUCACCUGGGCGACGAUCCCUAGCUGGUCUGAGAGGAGGACCAGCCACACGGGGACUGAGAACGGGCCCAAACUCCUACGGAGGCGGCAGUGGGGAAUAUUGCACAAGGGGGGCAAGCCUGAUGCAGCAAUGCCGCGUGUAUGAAGAAGGCCCUAGGGUUGUAAAGUACUUUCAGUCGGGAGGCGUUACCGACAGAAGAAGCACCGGCUAACUCCGUGCCAGCAGCCGCGGUAAUAC